rnacentral:rRNA from 1 species
UACGUAGGUGGCAAGCGUUGUCCGGAUUUAUUGGGUUUAAAGGGUGCGUAGGUGGUCUAUUAAGUCAGUGCUGAAAUAUCCCGGCUUAACCGGGAGGGUGGCAUUGAUACUGAUGGACUUGAGUAAAGUUGAGGUUGGCGGAAUUGACGGUGUAGCGGUGAAAUGCUUAGAUAUCGUCAAGAACACCGAUAGCGAAGGCAGCUAACUAAGCUUUAACUGACACUGAUGCACGAAAGUGUGGGGAGUCAAACAGGG